GAUGAACGCUGGCGGCGUGCCUAAUACAUGCAAGUCGAGCGAACAGACGAGGAGCUUGCUCCUUUGACGUUAGCGGCGGACGGGUGAGUAACACGUGGGUAUCCUACCUAUAAGACUGGGAUAACUUCGGGAAACCGGAGCUAAUACCGGAUAAUAUUUCGAACCGCAUGGUUCGAUAGUGAAAGAUGGCUUUGCUAUCACUUAUAGAUGGACCUGCGCCGUAUUAGCUAGUUGGUAAGGUAACGGCUUACCAAGGCAACGAUACGUAGCCGACCUGAGAGGGUGAUCGGCCACACUGGAACUGAGACACGGUCCAGACUCCUACGGGAGGCAGCAGUAGGGAAUCUUCCGCAAUGGGCGAAAGCCUGACGGAGCAACGCCGCGUGAGUGAUGAAGGUCUUCGGAUCGUAAAACUCUGUUAUUAGGGAAGAACAAACGUGUAAGUAACUGUGCACGUCUUGACGGUACCUAAUCAGAAAGCCACGGCUAACUACGUG
rnacentral:rRNA from 1 species